rnacentral:rRNA from 1 species
UACGAAGGGGGCGAGCGUUGUUCGGAUUUACUGGGCGUAAAGGGCGCGCAGGCGGCUUUGUUUGUCAGGCGUGAAAGCCCCGGGCUUAACCUGGGAACUGCGUUUGAUACGGCAGGGCUAGAGUUCGGGAGAGGAGCGUGGAAUUCCCAGUGUAGAGGUGAAAUUCGUAGAUAUUGGGAAGAACACCGGUGGCGAAGGCGGCGCUCUGGACCGAGACUGACGCUGAGGCACGAAAGCGUGGGGAGCAAACAGG